rnacentral:rRNA from 1 species
UCAAGCUAUAAAGAGCGUAGGGAGAAUGACUUGGCAUCAGGAGCCGAAGAAGGACGUGACAAGCUGCGAAAAGCUGCGGUUAGGAGCAAAUAUCCAUAGACCCGCAGAUAUCCGAAUGGGGAAACCCGGUACGGCAAUACCGUAUCACUGCAUGGUAAAUACAUAGCCAUGUGGAGGAAACCCUCUGAACUGAAACAUCUAAGUAGGAGGAGGAAAAGAAAGAAACAUCGAUUUCCAAAGUAGCGGCGAGCGAAAUGGAAGAAGCCCAAACCGAUAUUGUUACGGCAAUAUCGGGGUUGUAGGACUGCAAUAUUCAAUUAACAAUGAACUGGAAUGGUCUGGAAAGUCCAUCCAUAGAGAGUGAAAGGCUCGUACAGGUAAGUUUGUUAUGCGAUAGCAGUAUCCUGAGUAUGGCGGGACACGAGGAAUCCUGUCAGAAUCAGCCGGGACCACCCGGUAAGGCUAAAUACUCCCAAGAGACCGAUAGUGGACCAGUACUGUGAAGGAAAGGUGAAAAGAACCCCGAACAGGGGAGUGAAAUAGAACCUGAAACCAUACGCUUACAACCGGUCGGAGCAGCUUCGUGCUGUGACGGCGUGCCUAUUGAAUAAUGAGCCUACGAGUUACUAAUCACUAGCGAGGUUAAGUGCAAGGAUGCACGGAGCCGAAGCGAAAGCGAGUCUGAACAGGGCGGCCAGUCAGUGGUUGUAGACGCGAAACCUUGCGAUCUACCCUUGAGCAGGUUGAAGGUUGGGUAAAACCAACUGGAGGACCGAACGAAUAAGCGUUGAAAAGCUUCUCGAUGACUUGAGGGUAGGGGUGAAAGGCUAAUCAAGCUGGGAAAUAGCUCGUACUCCCCGAAAUGCCUUUUGGGGCAGCGUUGUAAUAAAGAGUCUACUGGAGGUAGAGCUACUGAUUGGAUGCGGGGGCUUCACCGCCUACCAAAUCCUGACAAACUCCGAAUGCCAGUAGUAUGAUUUACAGCAGUGAGUGACUGGGUGCUAAUGUCCAGUCGCAAAAGAGGAACAACUCAGACCAGCAACUAAGGUCCCGAAGAAUAUGCUAAGUUGAUCUAACGAUGUUUUGUUGCAGAGACAGCUAGGAUGUUAGCUUGGAAGCAGCUAUUCAUUCAAAGAGUGCGUAACAGCUCACUAGUCGAGCGACAGAGCGUGGAUAAUAAACGGGCAUCAAGCAUAUCACCGAAGUUCUGGGCGCGAGAGCGCGGUAGGGGAGCAUUCCAUUCAGCGUCGAAGCAGUUUCGUGAGGAAUUGUGGAGCGUAUGGAAAAGCAAAUGUAGGCAUGAGUAACGAUAAUGCGGGAGAGUAACCCGCACACCGCAAGACCAAGGUUUCCUGAUCAACGCUAAUCGGAUCAGGGUUAGUCGGGUCCUAAGGGUAAGCCGAACGGCGAUCUCGAUGGAUAAUCGGUUAAUAUUCCGAUACUAACAUAUACCUCGAUGGAGAGACGAAGGAACGUAAGUGCCGCCACCUGACGGAAUAGGUGGUUAAAGGGCGUAGGUAUAGGGGCAGAUUAAGAGUUAGUCCUUGCUGAAACCUGACAGUACAGAGAGCCUACGGGCAAUUUGAUAGAGCACCCAAGUCGACUUCCGAGAAAAUCUUCUAAGUUAUAGUAUAUGUUACCCGUACCGUAAACCGACACAGGUGGUCGAGGAGAGUAUCCUAAGGUGCUCGAGUGAAUCACGGUUAAGGAACUAGGCAAAUUAACCCCGUAACUUCGGGAAAAGGGGUCCCUAUGAAAGUAGGGCGCAGCGAAGAGGUCCAGGCGACUGUUUAUCAAAAACACAGGGCUCUGCAAAUUCGAAAGAAGACGUAUAGGGCCUGACACCUGCCCGGUGCUGGAAGGUUAAGAGGGGAUGUCAUCGCAAGAGAAGCAUUGAAUCGAAGCCCCAGUAAACGGCGGCCGUAACUAUAACGGUCCUAAGGUAGCGAAAUUCCUUGUCGGGUAAGUUCCGACCUGCACGAAUGGUGUAACGAUCUGGAUUAAUGGCAAGGCAUCAGGCCUGUCCGCAGAUAACCAAGCCCAGAUACUGGAACAAAUUCCUGCUGAGAGCAUUGAGCGCAUAGAAUUGAUCACGAACCCCUCGGCCAAAUUCAGCCCGGAAGGGACUUCCGGAAUCAUCAACAUUAUUUUAAAGAAAAACCGGAAAGCCGGAUAUUACGGUAGUUUACAAGUCGGGGCCGAUAUUCUAGGCGGGUACAAUGCCAGCGGUAGUAUCAAUUAUAGUAGUGGUAAGAUUGAAUCCUACCUUAACGUCGGGUACCGCCAAAGGAAAUCGGAAGGUAAAGAUAAUACAGAUCGUAUUAAUCUGGAUGACCAAGGUAAUCCCGUCUCCUACUUGAAUCAGAAAGGCUGGAACAAUCGGGAUGGCGGUUCACUCUUCACCCGGGCUGGUCUAACGCUACACCUCACCCAGACCGACCUUAUCGGAAUUGAAGGAUUCGGACAUUUCGGGAACCGGAAUUCCAAUAACACCAUUCGUUACGAAA